rnacentral:rRNA from 1 species
AUUGAACGCUGGCGGCAGGCCUAACACAUGCAAGUCGAGCGGAUGAGUGGAGCUUGCUCCAUGAUUCAGCGGCGGACGGGUGAGUAAUGCCUAGGAAUCUGCCUGGUAGUGGGGGACAACGUUUCGAAAGGAACGCUAAUACCGCAUACGUCCUACGGGAGAAAGUGGGGGAUCUUCGGACCUCACGCUAUCAGAUGAGCCUAGGUCGGAUUAGCUAGUUGGUGAGGUAAAGGCUCACCAAGGCGACGAUCCGUAACUGGUCUGAGAGGAUGAUCAGUCACACUGGAACUGAGACACGGUCCAGACUCCUACGGGAGGCAGCAGUGGGGAAUAUUGGACAAUGGGCGAAAGCCUGAUCCAGCCAUGCCGCGUGUGUGAAGAAGGUCUUCGGAUUGUAAAGCACUUUAAGUUGGGAGGAAGGGCAGUAAGUUAAUACCUUGCUGUUUUGACGUUACCAACAGAAUAAGCACCGGCUGACUCUGUGCCAGCAGCAGCCGCGGUAA